rnacentral:lncRNA from 10 species
AUGGAUGAUAUCCUGAAAUAUGUUUUUCAAGUUGUUUCCAUUCUCCCCAUCUCUUUCAGAGAGAGCAAUGAGUCAUACAUUUGGUCUCUUUACAUAAUCCCCUAUUUCUCUGAGGUUUUGUUCAUUUAUUUUCCUUCUUUUUUCUCUGUUCUUGUCUGACUGUCUUAUUUCAGAAAGGCAGCCAUCAAGCUCUGAGAUUCUUUCCUCCACUUGGUCUAUUCUGCUACUAAUACUUCUCAGCCCAGUUCAGAACUCCUGUUGGAGAGAUGAUUCAGCUGUUUGCAGGAAAAAAGGCCCUCUGACUUUGAUUGUGAAGGAAGAGAGAAAUGUGGAAGAGAAGAGGAAGCAGAAGAAAAGAAAAGGAAUCAAGAUCUUACACUACCUGAAAAGCCUAAAAUAUUUACCUUUAUACAAAUCUUUCCCUUUGUAGAAAAAUUUUGACAAUCCCUGCUCUAGAGAGAGGAAGAAAACUCCAAGGAUUUACCAGGUUUCUGAAGGUAAACUACUGAGGAACAAAACCACUAAUAAAAUUCCUGCAAGAAUAAUGUAUUUUUUGAGUUUAUCACAUGGAGUUUUUUUCUUAACCAAAGGAUAAUUGAGCCCACAAAUAAAGACAAAAUAUCCACUAAAAAUAUAUCACGUAGAAACCAUUUUGAAAAUUAUGAAAAGAGUAUUUAACUAGCCUAAAUGUAGGUAGAACUAUAUGUCUGAUAAAAAAUAAAAAGCACACACUUAAAGCACACAACUUGCUAAGUUGUUGAAAUUCUCAACACAAUCAAGAUUAUAUAUUCAUAUACAUAUACAAAUAAAUAUACGUAAGAUAUAUGUAACUACCUAAUAUAAAAUAGACCAAUGAUAUGUAUAGACACUUCAUCAAAGUUAAGAUGCAUAUAUAUGUAUAUUUAUAUAUAUAUAUCCAUUACUAGUCUCAAAAUGUCCUCACGUCCUCUUGUAAUCUUCGUUUCUCCUUUUCUUGUCCUCCUCUCCAAUCUCACCCCAUUUCCAGGCAACCAGUGAUUAUCUUUGUGUUACUAUAUUUUUUUUCUCAAAUUGUAUAUAAUAAAAUAAGUUUGUUAUUUUGAUAUCCAUUCAUUUUUCAUGCAUGAAUAGUUUAUGCCUUUAUAUUGCAUUGUACAGAUGUACUAAAAUUUUUUAUGCAUUCACUUGUUUUUGACUGUUAUAAAUAAAGCUGCUAUGAACAUUUAUGUAGAAAUCUUUAUAUGUACAUAUGUAUUCAUUUCUUUUAGGUAAAUACC